rnacentral:piRNA from 1 species
UCCAAGCAAUUUGGUAUGCUUUGAACAAUC